rnacentral:rRNA from 1 species
AUACAGAGGGUGCAAGCGUUAAUCGGAUUUACUGGGCGUAAAGCGCGCGUAGGCGGCUAAUUAAGUCAAAUGUGAAAUCCCCGAGCUUAACUUGGGAAUUGCAUUCGAUACUGGUUAGCUAGAGUAUGGGAGAGGAUGGUAGAAUUCCAGGUGUAGCGGUGAAAUGCGUAGAGAUCUGGAGGAAUACCGAUGGCGAAGGCAGCCAUCUGGCCUAAUACUGACACUGAGGUGCGAAAGCAUGGGGAGCAAACAGGAUUAGAUACCCUGGUAGUCCAUGCCGUAAACGAUGUCUACUAGCCGUUGGGGCCCUUGAGGCUUUAGUGGCGCAGCUAACGCGAUAAGUAGACCGCCUGGGGAGUACGGUCGCAAGACUAAAACUCAAAGGAAUUGACGGGG